GUUCAUCUCUUGAGUUUGUUUCAGAGAGAAAAUGUUCACAUUUGGGGAUUUAAAUUAGGUCAGUAGUAGGAAAUUGGUGCUAGGGCCUAGGGGAAGCAUUGGAAAGGGUUUUCUUAGAUUAUGAUCAUCUUUGCAGAUAAUCAAUAUAGCAUUAUUUUCUGUUGCAUAACCAUUUCAUUGUCCAUCAGUACAUUGGUAUAGCUUUGAAGCUGGUGGCAGCUUAUGAUUUCCCCCACUCUACC
rnacentral:misc_RNA from 1 species